GUGAAGAAACCCCACUUAAGCUUGUUUGAGGAAGAGGAAAAUCUGUUGCUUCAGGCAUCUGAAAAGUCCAGGGGAUAUGAGUAUCAGGUAUAGUUUGGUCUAGGCACUCAAAUAAUAACAUUAAACUCACUUCCCAUCCCUCUUCUUCUCUUUCAGCAUUUCAGCUCUUCUUUUCUCCUGAUUGCCUUCAUUCUCAGGGAAAGAUUAUCCACAUGGCAGCUUCUGGCACUAAUGCCUGUCUGAGACCAUCCUGUUACUCCCAGUAAAGCUAGGAGUGGCUAUUCUCAGAACACUGGUGUACUCCUGGAAUAAUUGCCUUUCUGGAAAUCACAUUGUAGCUUAUUCAGAAGCACUUUUAAUAGAGAUAUUUGGAAUGACCCUGGGCGGAAGUUUAUCAGAACCUGGAGCAUAGCAGCAAUACCUGGAGAUUCUAUCGAAAACAGCAAGGCCAGCACAGUGGGGAUGGUUGAGAGAAGCCCUCCUUUCUCCACUGAGGAACUUUGUGCCAAGUCACCUGCACGUCUACCCUACCUACCCCUGACCUGAACUCAGCAGGACAGCACAAAGAAAGCAUGAAGAACUUUGCUGCACUGCUUUUGGAAAAUAUGCUAACCCCUAGCAUAACCAAUCCAUCUUAAGAAUGAAACAGCAGCGAUUGAUGGAAAAGAGUUGUACAAUUCCGGGGCGCUCAAAGUGAUGGAAGAAGCUAUUGAGGAUGAUAAUGCUCAUGCUUGGAACCCUAUGUCCAAGUUGUAAGGAAGCCCAAGCAGCCCAUAAAGAGGCCCACGUUAAGAAGAACCAGGACCCACAGUCUAAGUGAACUCUCAGCUAAUAGCACCAUUUUGCCAACCAUGAGUCAAACUGGCAGCUUCAAGGACCUUGGCUGAAAUUGGUCCAUUUGGAUAUGUGUGCUUGUUUCUGCAAUGUCCUGAAUGACUGUGGGAAAGGGCUUCACAAGGCUUCAUAAGACACCUGGAUCUCAUAUCUGCUUCUGCAUUCAAUCUGUUGCACCAAGUUGUUUUGACUGAAGGGUAUGAAGAAAAACUGGCCUCAUCCAAAUAUGCGGUUGGAAAAGGGUGGAGUAUUUUAACAGCCCUUCAAAUAAUUGGUCCCAGUGAUCAAGCUUUGUCUCCAGCAUCAUUUUACCCUUUAUUCUUGGAAGGGACACUGGAGGCGACUGAUUCCAACCCCUCGACUUGAAAGUUGAAAGAUGCAAAGCACAGAGCAGGGGAUGACAUGCUCAAGGCCCCAUCACCAGUCGGAGGCAGACCUGCAUAGAACUUGGGACAUAAAUGUAGGCACACACAAAACCCAGAGACAUUCCACCGACAUUUAAAAUCAAGAAUCCUCCCUGAUAUAGUAUGACCUUGUAAAUGAUGCAAAGGGUUUGAACAAUUCAAAACAAACAAACAAACAAAAAAACAGGUCUAGGAUAAGUUUUUUCAAAAUCAUCAAAUAUAAAUUUCAACCCAAUUUUUUAAUUUCAUAAAACCAAGGUUAAAAGAGGUUGAGUGAUUAGUUAAAAGUUAUGGGCAAGUGAUGGUAACGUCAAGCCUCUAAUUCAUAUAUUUGCCAAGCUCUAGCUUUGAAUGAUAUUGUAACUCGAAAGGAAUAAUGUUGUUCUUUUUAGAAAAUAACAUGGUCAUGGUAGACCACUUGGAAAAAUAUACAUAAACAUAAGGACAAAGUGACCCAUACAUUAAAGAUAAUCACUGUUAAUAUUUUUAUUAAAUGAAAAGCAUUACAUGUAACUUUACCUAAGUUUAUCAGAAAAAAAGAAUUAAAGAGGGUCGGUAUGGUGGUUCACG
rnacentral:lncRNA from 1 species